ensembl:lncRNA
AGAAAAAGCCCUAGCAUCCAUCGAUCUUAAACGGGUUGACAGAACAGUAAUAAUCAAUAGACUGAUCAAUGUGAUGAUUGUUUUAAUAUUGGAUGUCUUAAUACAGACUGUGAGUCCUUGGUGCUUUCCAGUGGAUAGCGCCAAUGAACUUAAGUGAACUUUGGGUGUCUUCCAAGAAGGACAUCUGCAUCCAGUGGGACGGGAGAGAUAAAAAAUUAUUAGAAAAAUGGUUCAAACUAGCAGGAUUCCACUAUUAGAAAGUACCCCAGGAGGCGGCUGUCAUCUCGGCUUUAUUGAUGUGUUCAAUACAUUGUUAUUUUGACAUCUGCACUUUUGAGCUUUAUUGACCAAUUUGAAAAGACCAUUGCUUGUUCCAUGACUAUAUCAAAAAAUUAAACACUAAAAUAAUUACAGUAAUUUAAGUGUAUGAUCAAAUAUAAAUUAUGAUAACAGACAGUUGGAUAUUGUCACAAAAUAAACUCCUUUAGUUUGUGUAAGAUAUUGUGUAAGAUUCUGAUCACCCUGUUUGGAGUUUAUUUUAGAAUAAUGCCAGCAUAAUAAGUGCAGCAUUAGUAUUUUUUUAUAGAUGGUUGUAGUAGUAUUUAUUUAUUCCCUCUUAUAAUAGAUUUAAUCAGUAUUCAUUCAUGGCCUCUUUUUUAUUUCAGAUACAGGGGCAAAAGGAGUUAGAAACAUCAAGUUAGAUUUUUUUCUUCUUUUUACAAAUCUGAAGAUGCCGUAUUAGAUCAUUAAAUGUAAAUAUCUUAUGUGACUAUGCAUUACAGAGAACUUUAGGACCUACUUGCUAAGUUCAGCCCCAAGAAUUAAUGUUGGAGUGAAAUAAAAUAAGGUACAAAGUCAAUUACAAACUAUUAGCCUAAACCUAACUGUAAUUACAUUGAAAGAAAAAAGCCUUUAACCUUGUUAGUACCAUAAAAGCCUAGGUUUGGGUACAACAGGAUCAAUACUGACGCUUGCCUUUACUGUAUAAUAUUUUGAAUUAAUGUGAUGUAUUAUAUAUUAAUUUAUCCAUGUUUAUGCUCUUUACUGUACACAGGUAAGUCAUUUAUUUAAUCUAAAUUUGUAUUACAUCUUUUACUCCCGCUGUACACAACAAUUUUGGAUUUGUUACUGUAAAUUAUACAAUAAUUAAAAAAUAAAGGGAAACAACC